rnacentral:rRNA from 1 species
UGGGGAAUUUUGGACAAUGGGCGCAAGCCUGAUCCAGCCAUGCCGCGUGCAGGAUGAAGGCCUUCGGGUUGUAAACUGCUUUUGUACGGAACGAAAAGGUUUGGCUUAAUACGUUGAACUCAUGACGGUACCGUAAGAAUAAGCACCGGCUAACUACGUGCCAGCAGCCGCGGUAAUACGUAGGGUGCGAGCGAUUAAUGAUCGGAAUUACUGGGCGUAAAGCGUGCGCAGGCGGUUAUGUAAGACAGAUGUGAAAUCCCCGGGCUCAACCUGGGAACUGCAUUAGUGACUGCAUAGCUGGAGUACGGCAGAGGGGGAUGGAAUUCCGCGUGUAGCAGUGAAAUGCGUAGAUAUGCGGAGGAACACCGAUGGCGAAGGCAAUCCCCUGGGCCUGUACUGACGCUCAUGCACGAAAGCGUGGGGAGCAAACA